UGAUCUCUUGGGAUUCUUCUUUAAUUUCUGAUUAAUUGACAAAAUAAUCAAGGGAGGGAACAGGACCACCCCUCCCCCCCCAAAAAAAAAUCUAAAAUAUAAUUUUGUUUUAUUACGUUAGGAGUGUUAUAACGUUUUCCUUUUGCCUGUUUAGGUCAUACCAGCUUUUUAAAACUGUGUUCCCUUUGAUGCCAUAAUGUUGUUAUUCUUGAAACAUACAAUCCAAAAACUUGCAUGUUUCAUAUCUUGCUGAUUAGAGAAGUCAAUGCUUACAUUCUUACCACUGCAGGUUAUCCUUGUGACAGAACAGUUACUGCUCCACUCCAACCAUGGCAAGUCACCCAUUUGUAUACUCACUGCUUCACUUCAACUAUUAUCUUCAAUGGGCUGGUUGUUUCUUUGACAGAGUUUGCUGCUGCCUGCACAGAUGAUGAAAGUCUAACAACUUGGAACAUGUCUAAAAACUCACUGCAGGCUAUCCAUGUGACUGUAAAGGUUGUGCUAUCUAGAAACUCAACGCUUCACUUUAACCACUGUAGUUCAUCCAUGUGACAGGGACCAUUAUCUUCAAUUGGCAAGUCUUAAAGUUUUUAUCCAAUGUCUACUAAAUUUGAACUUUACUUCGCCUCAUCAAACGAAACUUGUCCUGUUUACUGGGGUUAGAUAUCUCUAGUUUUUUUACCUUAUCAAGUCCUGGGACACUGGUAACUAAACAAAUGUUUUUGUAACCUUUAAAUUGUUCCCAGGCUGACUUUGUGUCAUUCAUGCAACAUUACCAAAGUUAGUGCCAUUCUUUUAGAAAGAUUGCAAAUCUAAUAACAGUUCAAGAUCCAUUUGUUUCAAGUUUAAUAAAUUGUUCUUUCUUGGGAUCCUUCUCUUUUAAUUAUAUUUUUUGUUCAAUUUGUCAAUAUAAUCAAUGGCCGAUCAGGGGGGCUUGCCUCCCCCUAACAACUCUGAAAACCAAGGUUUUUUGUUAAGUUAGGAUUGUUACAUUUUAUAUUUGAAAUUGGCGCCAGAUUGAGAGGUUAACAAACCUAAUAAUCAGACAACCCUAGAUGUAAAAAGCUGAAGCUGCCCAGUCCCCUGAAACUUCUUAACCUUGUGAUUUCAAUCCUUAAAUAGUUUUCCAGAGCAAAUGUGCCAUUUCUUAAUUUCAACAACAUGUUGGUACAGUUUAGUCAACUGUCUUUAAAAAAACAAACCAAUCUUGUGAUUUUGAAUAAUGUGCUUGAUACUUUCAUGUAUAUGUCUUGAUUCUGUCUCUGUUGCCAUGCUGGUUGUUUCUUUGACAGAGUUGGCUGCUGCCUGCACAGAUGAUGAAAGUUGAACACCUUGGAAAAUGUAUAGGAAUUCACUGCAGGCUACCCAAGUUGCUAUAAAGGUUGUGAUAUAGAAACUUCCUGCUUAACUCCAAACACUGUAGUUCAUUCAUGUGACAGCAACUAUUAUCUGCAAUGGGCUGGUUGUUCUUUGACAGAGUUAGCUGCUGCCUGCACCGAUGAUGAAAGUCUAACAACUUGGAACAUGUGUAAAAAUCCACUGCAUGCUAUCCACGUGACUGUAGCUUAAAGGUUGUUCUAUCUAGAAACUCGAUGCUUCAUUCCAACCACUGUAGUUCACUGUGAGGCAAAUAUUAUCUUCAAUGGGCUAUCCAUGUGACUGUACAGGCUGUGCUAUCUAGAAACUCAAUGCUUCACUUUAACCACUAUAGGUCAUCCAUGUGAUUGCAACUAUUAUCUUCAAUGGGUUAUCCAUGUGACGGCACAGUUACUGCUACAGUUGCUGCAGGUCAUCCGCACAGGCACAGCUUGUCCAAGUAUUAAGUCACAAGGAACUGGAGUGUAUAAUGUAAGCCUUUCUUUCAUUCUAAAGGGCCAGUCACACUGCAGCAAUAAAGAUAACAACGCAUAGAAAUUUAUUCAACCAAUCGUUGGCGUGCAUUGUAAUGCUUUCAUAUUCGUUAUCGAGGCCUUUAAGCCACCCCUUUACCGUUUCUUUUUAGGACUAACUGUUCUAACAUCAGGCUGGCCACUUUUUUUAACUCUCUUUCAAUUUUUAGUUUUUUACCCAAGUCUUUUCUUCCAUGUUAUCUUAAUUAAACUCUUGCAAGUUUUUGAUCAACCCAAAAGCACACUCUCUCCAGUCCCUUAAAACUUUUCAUCUUACUGAUUUUCAAACAGCCAAAUGUUUGUGAGCUGCUUUUGUGCUUAAAUUCUCUUAAACUGUCCUAACCAAUUGUAUACAGACAAUUUUAUCCAAGGCUUGACUUUGUUUGGAUUGGUCAUCCAGUUGGUUGUGAUGUGGAAAGCUCCAAACUCAUGUUAUGUUUACCGAAAAUCAUUUGUCAAUUAUUUGGUAUUUGCAGGAAGUAUCAACCGGGCUUUACAUGUGUUGAUAUUUGAUGCUUUACAUGUAGUGGGUUGUUUUGGUAGCUCACUAUCUUGUACCUAAGUACACCCUUGCAAGCA